rnacentral:rRNA from 1 species
ACGGCUCAGUAACACGUAGGUAACCUACCCUUCGGACGGGCACAACCCCGGGAAACUGGGGCUAAUUCCCGAUAGGUACCCCUUCUGGAAUGUGGGGAUAUCCAGAGCUCCGGCGCCGAAGGAUGGGCCUGCGGCCGAUUAGGUUGUUGGCGGGGUAACAGCCCACCAAGCCGACGAUCGGUACGGGCAGUGAGAGCUGUAGCCCGGAGAUGGGGACUGAGACAAGGCCCCAGGCCCUACGGGGCGCAGCAGGCGCGAAACCUUCACAAUGCACGAAAGUGUGAUGAGGGUACUCCGAGUGCGCAUACAUUGUAUGUGCUUUUCUGCAGCGUAAAUAGUUGCAGGAAUAAGGGCUGGGCAAGACCGGUGCCAGCCGCCGCGGUAACACCGGCAGCCCUAGUGGUGGCCGCUUUUAUUGGGCCUAAAGCGUCCGUAGCCGGACAGGCGAGUCUUUGGGUAAAUCCUACGUCUUAAGCGUGGGAAUUCUAAAGAUACUACCUGUCUUGAGGCCGGGAGAGGCUGGAGGUACUCCUGGGGUAGGGGUAAAAUCCUAUAAUCCUGGGGGGACCACCGAUGGCGAAGGCAUCCAGCUGGAACGGGCCUGACGGUGAGGGACGAAACCCAGGGGAGCGAGCCGGAUUAGAUACCCGGGUAGUCCUGGGCGUAAAUGAUGUGGGCUUGGUGUGAGCGCAUCGACGAGGUGCGCUUGUGCCGUAGGGAAGCCGUUAAGCCCACCGCCUGGGGAGUACGGUCGCAAGGCUGAAACUUAAAGGAAUUGGCGGGGGAG